GACGAACGCUGGCGGCGUGCUUAACACAUGCAAGUCGAACGGAAAGGCCCUGCUUGCUGCUUACUCGAGUGUCGAACGGGUGAGUAACACGAAGGUGAUCUGCCCCUCACUUCGGGAUAAGCCUGGGAAACGGGGUCUAAUACCGGAUAGGAGCCCUAUUUAGUGUGGUGGUUGGAGAGUGUUUUCGGUGUGGGAUGAGCUCGCGGCCUAUCAGCUUGUUGGUGGGGUAAUGGCCUACCAAGGCGGCGACGGGUAGCCGGCCUGAGAGGGUGGACGGCCACAUUGGGACUGAGAUACGGCCCAGAGGCCUACGGGAGGCAGCAGUGGGGAAUAUUGCACAAUGGGCGCAAGCCUGAUGCAGCGACGCCGCGUGGGUGAUGACGGCCUUCGGGUUGUAAAAGGCCUUCGCGAGGGACGAUGCAUGUUGUGACGGUACCUAGAUAAGAAGCACCGGCUAACUACGUG
rnacentral:rRNA from 1 species